AUUGAACGCUGGCGGCAUGCCUUACACAUGCAAGUCGAACGGCAGCACGGGUGCUUGCACCUGGUGGCGAGUGGCGAACGGGUGAGUAAUACAUCGGAACGUACCUUAUCGUGGGGGAUAACGCAGCGAAAGUUGCGCUAAUACCGCAUACGCCCUGAGGGGGAAAGCGGGGGACCGUAAGGCCUCGCGCGAUUAGAGCGGCCGAUGUCUGAUUCGCUUGUUGGUGAGGUAAAAGCUCACCAAGGCGAUGAUCAGUAGCUGGUCUGAGAGGACGAGCAGCCACACUGAGACUGAGACACGGCUCAGACUCCUACGGGAGGGAGCAGUGGGGAAUUUUGGACAAUGGGGGCAACCCUGGUCCAGCAAUGCCGAGUGAGUGAAGAAGGCCUUCGGGUUGUAAAGCUCUUUUGUCAGGGAAGAAACAGCAGCUCUAACACAGUCUGCGAAUGACGGUACCUGAAGAAUAAGCACCGGCUAACUACGUGCCAGCCGCCGCGGUAA
rnacentral:rRNA from 1 species